rnacentral:rRNA from 1 species
GAUGAACGCUGGCGGCGUGCCUAAUACAUGCAAGUCGAGCGAAUGAUGAGGAGCUUGCUCCUCUGAUUUGGCGGCGGACGGGUGAGUAACACGUGGGUAAUCUGCCUGUAAGACGGGGAUAACUCCGGGAAACCGGGGCUAAUACCGGAUAAUAAGAGAAGAUGCAUGUCUUCUUUUUGAAAGUCGGUUUCGGCUGACACUUACAGAUGAGCCCGCGGCGCAUUAGCUAGUUGGUGAGGUAACGGCUCACCAAGGCGACGAUGCGUAGCCGACCUGAGAGGGUGAUCGGCCACACUGGGACUGAGACACGGCCCAGACUCCUACGGGAGGCAGCAGUAGGGAAUCUUCGGCAAUGGGCGAAAGCCUGACCGAGCAACGCCGCGUGAGCGAUGAAGGCCUUCGGGUCGUAAAGCUCUGUUGUUAGAGAAGAACAAGUACGAGAGUAACUGCUCGUACCUUGACGGUACCUAACCAGAAAGCCACGGCUAACUACGUGCCAGCAGCCGCCGUAA